rnacentral:rRNA from 1 species
UACGUAGGUGACAAGCGUUGUCCGGAUUUACUGGGCGUAAAGAGCGCGCAGGCGGUCGAUCAAGUCGAGUGUGAAAGCCCCCGGCUCAACUGGGGAGGGUCAUUCGAUACUGAUCGACUCGAAGGCAGGAGAGGGUAGUGGAAUUCCCGGUGUAGUGGUGAAAUGCGUAGAUAUCGGGAGGAAUACCUGUGGCGAAGGCGGCCUACUGGGCCGGACCUGACGCUGAGACGCGAAGGCGUGGGGAGCGAACGGG